rnacentral:rRNA from 1 species
CCUACGGGCGGCAGCAGUGGGGGAUAUUGCACAAUGGGGGCAACCCUGAUGCAGCGACGCCGCGUGGGCGAAGAAGUAUUUCGGGAUGUAAAGUUCUAUCAGCAGGGAAGAAGAAAUGACGGUACCUGACUAAUAAGCCCCGGCUAACUACGUGCCAGCAGCCGCGGUAAUACGUAUGUGGCAAGCGUUAUCCGGAUUUACUGGGUGUAAAGGGCGCGUAGCCGGGUUGACAAGUCAGAUGUGAAAGCCUGCGGCUCAACCGCAGGACUGCAUUUGAAACUAUCGAGCUGGAGUACCGGAGAGGCAGGCGGAAUUCCUAGUGUAGCGGUGAAAUGCGUAGAUAUUAGGAGGAACACCAGUGGCGAAGGCGGCCUACUGGACGGUGACUGACGCUGAGGCGCGAAAGCGUGGGGAGCAAACAGGAUUAGAUACCCGAGUAGUC